rnacentral:rRNA from 1 species
UACGUAGGGGGCUAGCGUUGUCCGGAAUCACUGGGCGUAAAGCGCACGUAGGCGGAUUGCUAAGUCAGGGGUGAAAUCCUGGAGCUCAACUCCAGAACUGCCUUUGAUACUGGGAAGCUCGAGUCCGGAAGAGGUGAGUGGAACUCCGAGUGUAGAGGUGAAAUUCGUAGAUAUUCGGAAGAACACCAGUGGCGAAGGCGGCUCACUGGUCCGGUACUGACGCUGAGGUGCGAAAAGCGUGGGGAGCAAACAGG